UACAGAGGGGGCAAGCGUUGUUCGGAAUUACUGGGCGUAAAGGGCGCGUAGGCGGCCUGUUAAGUCGAACGUGAAAUCCCCAGGCUCAACCUGGGAACUGCGUCCGAUACUGGCAGGCUUGAAUCCGGGAGAGGGAUGCGGAAUUCCAGGUGUAGCGGUGAAAUGCGUAGAUAUCUGGAGGAACACCGGUGGCGAAGGCGGCAUCCUGGACCGGUAUUGACGCUGAGGCGCGAAAGCCAGGGGAGCAAACGGGG
rnacentral:rRNA from 1 species